CCACACCUGAACCUCAUCCGCUUGUCGAAAGCGGUACUUAGGAACAGCCAGACAUCCAGUCCUCGCUGGACCGUUAUGAAGUAGGGGAGACCGGGGAGAUUCACUCAUUCCUGUCCUUCAUUACUGCUCUUCAGGUCCCUCAACAAGCUGGUGUCUGAACGGCCCAAACAGUGGGAUAAGUUCCUGCAGCCCACCAUGUUUGGCCUCCGGACAAAGAAGCAGCUUAACACAAAAUACAGCCCUUUUUAUUUGAUGUUUGGGAGGGAGGCCAGGUAUCCCUCAGAGGUGCCAAUUGAGUGCACUUUGAUUGCAGAUCUGGUGCACCUGGGAGCUGUGAGCUGAUAAAGCUCCACCUGGUCAGACUAAACUCUCUUCUCUUCACUACACUCCAGACAUCAACCAUGGCCUGAUCACCCCGCCUGCUACAUCUUGUUUUGGGUUUAUUUAAGUUAUAGUUAAGUUCUGUUUAGUUCAUUCUUUUGUUAAAUAAAUCACUUUUGAUAAUUUA